rnacentral:rRNA from 1 species
UGCGUAGGCGGCUUAAUAAGUCAGAGGUGAAAGGCUAUCGCUUAACGAUAGAAUUGCCUUUGAAACUGUUGAGCUUGAAUUAAGAUGAGGUAGGCGGAAUGUGACAAGUAGCGGUGAAAUGCAUAGAUAUGUCAUAGAAGGCCGAUUGCGAAGGCAGCUUACUAGACUUAAAUUGACGCUGAGGCACGAAAGCGUGGGGAGCGAACAGGAUUAGAUACCCUGGUAGUC